rnacentral:rRNA from 1 species
UACAGGGGGUGCAAACGUUGCUCGGAAUUAUUGGGCGUAAAGCGCGCGUAGGCGGCCGCUUAAGUCGGAUGUGAAAGCCCCUGGCUCAACUGGGGAAGUGCACCCGAAACUGAGUGGCUUGAGUACUAAAGAGGGUCGCGGAAUUCCCGGUGUAGAGGUGAAAUUCGUAGAUAUCGGGAGGAACACCAGUGGCGAAGGCGGCGACCUGGGCCAAUACUGACGCUGAGGUGCGAAAGCGUGGGGAGCAAACAGG